rfam:Schistosoma rodhaini strain Burundi genome assembly, scaffold: SROB_scaffold0008076
GAAAAGGCCCUUUUUAGGGCCACAAAAAUUUGAUUUUCGCUUCUUU